AUUAUGGCAGGGAGUGUGAGCUCAGGAGUCUGAGAAACCCCUGUGGUUGAUCCAUAGGGCUUGGGGAAGGUGCUCCAGACAGAAAGUUCAGUGAAUGCUGAGAGUUGAUUGAUCUCUGGACAACUGGGAGCAGCUCUGGACUAUCCACCACCAUGGAGCCCCCUGAGGCUGUCCUCUUUAACAUUCAGAUGGAAGUAUGUUCACUCAGAGGGUGAUAGUACAACCAAGAUGUGGUGACUUUACUGUGAAUUGCACAAGUAGUGUUCAGCAAAACAGUAGGUGCACCUUUGGCUCUUCAGUGCUGCACUGGUCAACAUGGAGGAUCCCCUGUUCCAUGAGAGCACGGUGCUCUCAGAGACUGAGGAAUGACUGAGGAAUGGAACCAAGUUUCUCCAGAGGCAGAGACAUUCAGGACACGGGAAGGGAAGAGGAAAAGCACCACAUAACACUUGUGCAGUGGGGAAGAGGGCUGCUGUGCCCCUAAGUCUGGAUGGGCUUUGCAUCUCAGGUCAUCCCUAGAAAGGUAUUUGGGGAAAAGACAAAGGUGGUGGCACAGGAAGCAGCUCUCAAGGAGAGGAUGGGACUAACAAAAUAAUCACUGCAGGAUAAAGGGUUCCUGGUUUGCAUCAGAGCUGCUGGAAUAAUCAGAGUUCUGAAAUCAUUAUCACUGAAGAUUUCGUCCAAGUCUGUUUUCAGUUCUGUUGUCACCAAAGUUGGGAGGAAGAGGAGAGGCUGGUCAGGGCCAGCACAGCCUGUGGGUGUCCUCGGGGCCCUGAGAGGAGUGUGAGGAGUACAGAGCACUUCUGGCAAUGCCCUCAAAGAAAACCUGUAGAGAAGAAUAAAGAACCCCCACAUAACUGGCUGGGAGCUCAGGGAGUCUGGAAAGGUAAAGUGUGUGUGGCAAACCCCUUUGUAGCACAUUUUGGAGUGGCACAGUCAGGAAAGACAGAGUUUCUGCUUGUUAGACAUGUAAGCAGUCAGUCUGGGGGCAAGCUGCUGCUUCUGGAAACACUGGGCUCCGUUACAGAGGCCCAGGGCUUGUCUCAUCACCCCGAGGUGACUCAUUGCAGGGUUCAGCUCCGAGAGGAGGAGAAGGGGACCCUGAAUCCCAAGUGAUUCUGAGUUCCCUUUGUCACAGUUAUUCCUAUUGCUUAUUACACUGCACUGUAGGGAGGGAAGAAACUUCAGGAGAACAGCUAGGCAAAGGAUGAAGCAUCUCUUCCAUACUGAAGGCCAAAUACGUCUUUGAUGACCCAUAAUAACAAAAUUCUUACUGUCAUUCAGUAACAAGAUGGAAAAAACUCAUGUGGCUGUUUAGUUUUAUGCUGAAGUUGCACAUCUGGCUCCAUAGUUCGGGCUCUUCUCUGAUCCUCGUUUUCCCUCUGUGUUCAGGAACAGUGAAGUGACCAGUGUCAGGCAAGGACAUGUGACAGUGCAGAACUUAUCCCUGCUGAACAGCAUUGGGACAGGGAAUUCAUUGACUGGACAUAGGAAAACUGGACAAAACUAUUGCAAAGUUCAUGGUCUUUACAUGUAUUAAUUCAACGCACUGACACAGACAUUUUGCACAUCCUGCUCACAUGGUUUGCAUUAAAAAGCAUUAUGAAAUCCCAAAGUCUAGUGCCAGAUGGUUUUGGGUUUCUUUGCUUGUAUAAAAGGUUUAAUUUAGGUGCAUGGAAAAUGUAAAAUACUCUGGUAAUGGCUUUAGCAGGACACCCAGCCUGCAUUUGCUUUAUUCAUCACCCUGCUGGCUCCUUCUGCAUGUUAUAUUUGAGUCAUGAUAAAACUUCAAAACAUGAAUUCAAAUUUACUGACUUCCCAGAACACACUAUGCUCUGUAAAAUGCUUAAAGGGAUUGAUGUGAAAGGAAAUAAUCCUAAAGACCCUCUGUGCUGAGAAACCACACGGUGAACAAAAAUAACCCUCUCUUUCAAAAUGCAUGGCUCCCAGGAAUGCCUGAGCCUGGUCCUGAGUGCAGAGGGAAGGGGGCAAUGGGGAAAGGUCAGCCAUACAGCUGUUGCUCCUGCCAGCAGCUUUCUGCCUGCUUUACUUGACGAGCUGAAUGAGCCUUUUAGCUCCUAUUAACAGGGAUCACAUUUUUCAGCUGAUCUUUUCUUGGUGGAACAGAUGAGCACCAGGAGUAUAAAUACGGAGUUAACUUGAAAUCUGAGCUGUUGGAAUUCACACAUCCCAUUCUCCAGGGCAGGAACAGGGUGAAGGGGCCCUGGCACUCUCCGGGUGUCCUCCUGCAGGGCCACUGUCCCAGCACGUACUGGGGCUCUGCCUCCUCACUAUUCACAUAUAGAAUUACUGCCCUCAGCCAAUCACACUCCAAAUGCAAGUGCAAAAUAUUGACCUGGUUAAUCCAGUAGCUUUCUAGGAGAUAAUAAUGAAAAUAAGCUGGAUUGUGUUUUAGAACAUUUUGAAGUUAUUUCUUUAACUGGAUGUGAUUUUAGUUUUUUUAAACUUAGUCUAGAUGGGGAAGCCAGUGACCAGUUAGAGACAGUUUUUACCUCAGCAUCCUCUUUUCUACUGCUUCAGAAAUAAAUUGCUUAUUUUCAGAGGCACCACAAAAGCAAGGGCAUGACAUAUGAACAGUGGUCUUGUUCUCAGAGACGUAAUGGGAGGAAGGCUGGUUUGUACAGAGGGAAUCCCCUGGCUCUGCUCACCACCUUUUAUCAGUUUUCACUUACCCUUUUUCCAGCAGUACGUUUUCCCCUGAGUUUCUGUGUAAAACCCAGAGAGACGUCAAAUAGAAAAACAACCCAGGGUUUUCAGAUUUGAUUUUGACAGGUUUAGUAUUACCAAAGAGUCUGUGUUUCCACUUGUACUGCAAUACAUACAAAAUUGCUGACUUGCAUUACAUUUGAUCAGUCUCCAAGUACUCUGCAAUAAUUAUUUGGGAGUAAUUUUUCUAUCUUGUUUUUCUCUAAAAAGCAAGUGAAACAAAGCAAAAUUUAGGAGAGCUGCAGGCUGCCAUGAAAACUCGUGAAAUGCACACAGCAGAGUGGACAAUUCCAGGAUUACAGAGGCCUCCUGGUCUGUACUGCACAGUCCCAGGUAAGUCUCCUCAGCUGUCCCACCUCCCCAGUGCCACUGGAAGCAGCUGCUGAUGUCAGCUGAGCCUGCACUCAGGAUUUUUUAGAGGGGUGGAGCUGGGGAGGAGCAAGAACAAUAUAACAAGUGUGUCAGGCGGUCCCGAGGUGCUGGUGGUGCCGAGGUCAGGAGCACACCCUGCGCUCAGGGCUGACUCCAGGGUGAAGUCACAGCCUGGGAGCUGAGUGUGUGCCCAGGGCUUGGCACAACUGCCCUCCCAGCUCUGGGGUGGGGCAAAUUUCAAAGGACUUUUCAGAAUCAAAGAGUCAGGAGCUAUAGGCCCAACAGGGGGAUGGGGAACAUAUAAAGCUUAACAAGGCCUGGAGCUGCAGGCAAGGCAUCUGAAGGCUUUUUAGAUUCUGUAUUGGCAGAAAGUGCCCUUGAGCAGCCCCCACAAAACGAAUGAUCAGCACAGACACGGGUGGGAGCAGUUUGUUACACUCUAAAUCCUCCUUGUUCAGUCUGUGCUGUAUCAAUGUCACAUCUUUUAAAACUGGAAAGACAAAAGUUUCUCCGUCCUCCUCAUUUUGCCAGCUCUCCCACUGCUGCCCUACCUAUCCAGAGGCAGUCCAAAGAGUGACAGAGUACCAUGGAUUAUUUACUGGUGUUUUCCUCUUGAAGCCUCUGUGCUGGGUUUCUUGUGAAUCUACCAAAUUUUAAUAAUUUUCAUACAUUUUUCAAGAUAAAACACAUAAUCAGUUAACAUUGAGACAACUAAAAAAAACCGAUUCAACAAUUUCCAAGGAUGGCCCUUGGCUUUGAAGGAGUCCCUGUGAUCUCUUUUCUGAUAACUCCAGUGCUCCAAUGCUCCAGGGUCGGGACUUGCCUACAAUUAUGGUCAUUCCUCACUUCUGAGUGUCUCAAAUGCAGAACCUUAGAAAACAAAUCACACGCACGAUUCACCCCCUGGGAAAACCUUGGGUUAUGUGACCUGUGUGGUAUCACAGAGAUCUGUGACACAAACAUGGACAGAAUUCGGUUACCCAGGACAAAGUUCAGUUCUCUGAGCCAUGACAUUGUCCUUUCCCUUUCCUGCAGCGUCCUUCCUCCUUGUGCAUCUCCCAGCUUUUCCAACAAGGUAAACAUUCCAUUAGCACACAAUUGACUCCAAGGAGGCUGGGAAAAGUAGCACUGAAUUACUUCA